rnacentral:rRNA from 1 species
CGGGGAAAAGAAACCAACAGGGAUUGCCUCAGUAACGGCGAGUGAAGCGGCAACAGCUCAAAUUUGAAAUCUGGAGCCUUCGGCUUCCGAGUUGUAAUUUGAAGAGGAUGUUUCGGUGCGACCUGGGCCUAAGUUCCUUGGAACAGGACGUCAUGGAGGGUGAGAAUCCCGUACAUGGCUGCAGGUUUGCUUCUAUGUGAAACUCCUUCGAAGAGUCGAGUUGUUUGGGAAUGCAGCUCAAAAUGGGUGGUAAAUUUCAUCUAAAGCUAAAUAUUGGCGGGAGACCGAUAGCGCACAAGUAGAGUGAUCGAAAGAUGAAAAGCACUUUGAAAAGAGAGUUAAACAGUACGUGAAAUUGUUGAAAGGGAAGCGCUUGCAAUCAGACUCGCCUUCAGUUGAUCAGCCUUCCUUCUGGUUGGUGCACUCUGCUGUUGGCGGGCCAGCAUCAGUUGGGGCGGUGGGAUAAAGGCGGCAGGAAUGUGGCUCCCCCCGGGGAGUGUUAUAGCCUGCUGUGUCAUGCCACCAGUCCCGACUGAGGUCCGCGGUUCGCCUAGGAUGCUGGCUUAAUGGUUGUAAGCGACCCGUCUUGAAACACGGACCAAGGAGUCUAACAUCUAUGCGAGUCUUUGGGUGUAAAACCCAUGGGCGAAAUGAAAGUGAACGGAGGUGGGAGUCUUCGGAUGCACCAUCGACCGAUCCUGAUGUUCUCGGAUGGAUUUGAGUAUGAGCAUAGCUGUUGGGACCCGAAAGAUGGUGAACUAUGCCUGAAUAGGGUGAAGCCAGAGGAAACUCUGGUGGAGGCUCGCAGCGGUUCUGACGUGCAAAUCGAUCGUCAAAUUUGGGUAUAGGGGCGAAAGACUAAUCGAACCAUCUAGUAGCUGGUUCCUAA